UCGAACGAGAAAUCCCGAGCUUGCUUGGGAGAGUAAAGUGGCGCACGGGUGAGUAACGCGUGGGUAACCUACCUUUGAAUCUGGAAUAACCAGCCGAAAGGCUGACUAAUACCGGAUACGGUUUUUAGGACUUAGGUUCUCUAAAUUAAAGGUGGCCUCUUCAUGAAAGUUGCCGUUCAUAGAUGGGCCCGCGUACCAUUAGCUGGUUGGUGGGGUAAUGGCCUACCAAGGCGACGAUGGUUAGCUGGUCUGAGAGGAUGAUCAGCCACACUGGAACUGGAACACGGUCCAGACUCCUACGGGAGGCAGCAGUGAGGAAUUUUGCGCAAUGGGGGAAACCCUGACGCAGCAACGCCGCGUGAGCGAAGAAGGCCUUCGGGUCGUAAAGCUCUGUCAAGUGGGAAAAAAAUCUUUUGAUCAAUAGUCAAAAGACUUGAUGGUACCACUGGAGGAAGCACCGGCUAACUCCGUGCAAGCAGCCGCGGUAAUACGGAGGGUGCAAGCGUUGUUCGGAUUU
rnacentral:rRNA from 1 species